ACCCAAAUUUUUAUCCAGGUUGACCUCGGAUCAGGUAGGGAUACCCGCUGAA
rnacentral:rRNA from 1 species